rnacentral:rRNA from 1 species
CAGUAGGGAGGAAGGUAGUGUAGUUAACACCUGCAUUAUUUGACGUUACCUACAGAAGAAGCACCGGCUAACUCCGUGCCAGCAGCCGCGGUAAUACGGAGGGUGCGAGCGUUAAUACGGAAUUACUGGGACGUAAAGCGCAUGCAGGCGGCCUGUUAAGUCAGAUGUAGAAAGGCCCGGGGACCGUUUAACCCGUACCGGUAAAUUGCUAUUUAGUAAACGUGGCGAGGCUAGAGUCUUGUAGAGGGGGGUAGGAAUUUCAGGUGUAGCGGUGAAAUGCGUAGAGAUCUGAAGGAAUACCAGUGGCGAAGGCGGCCCCCUGGACAAAGACUGACGCUCAGAUGCGAAAGCGUGGGGAGCAAACAGGAUUAGAUACCCUGGUAG